UCCUGGGUGUAAACGCUACCCGCUUGAUGUUAGGUAGGCUUCGGGCCUACCUAGUGUCGGAGCGAAGGCGUUAAGCGGGUUGCCUGGGGAGUACGGCCGCAAGGCUGAAACUUAAGGGAAUUGGCGGGGGAGCACUGCAACGGGUGGAGCGUGCGGUUUAAUCGGAUUCAACGCCGGAAAGCUCACCGGGGGAGACUGCCGCAUGUGGGCCAGGCUGAAGACCUUGCCCGAAC
rnacentral:rRNA from 1 species